ACGACGCAUGGCGGCGUGCCUAAUACAUGCAAGUCGAGCGAACAGAAGGGAGCUUGCUCCCGGAUGUUAGCGGCGGACGGGUGAGUAACACGUGGGUAACCUGCCUGUAAGACUGGGAUAACUCCGGGAAACCGGAGCUAAUACCGGAUAGUUCCUUGAACCGCAUGGUUCAAGGAUGAAAGACGGUUUCGGCUGUCACUUACAGAUGGACCCGCGGCGCAUUAGCUAGUUGGUGGGGUAAUGGCUCACCAAGGCGACGAUGCGUAGCCGACCUGAGAGGGUGAUCGGCCACACUGGGACUGAGACACGGCCCAGACUCCUACGGGAGGCAGCAGUAGGGAAUCUUCCGCAAUGGACGAAAGUCUGACGGAGC
rnacentral:rRNA from 1 species